AGAGUUUGAUCCUGGCUCAGAAUCAACGCUGGCGGCGUGCCUCAGACAUGCAAGUCGAACGCGAAAGUUCCCUUCGGGGAGCGAGUAGAGUGGCGCACGGGUGAGUAACACGUAGGUAAUUUGCCUUCGGGUGGGGAAUAACUCAGGGAAACUUGAGCUAAUACCGCAUAAUGCAGCGGCUCGACAUCGAGACAGUUGUUAAAGCGGGGGAUCGCAAGACCUCGCGCCUGAAGAGAAGCCUGCGGCAGAUUAGCUAGUUGGUAGGGUAAUGGCCUACCAAGGCGACGAUCUGUAACCGGCCUGAGAGGGCGGUCGGUCACACUGACACUGACAUACGGGUCAGACUCCUACGGGAGGCAGCAGUCGGGAAUUUUGGGCAAUGGGCGAAAGCCUGACCCAGCAACGCCGCGUGAAGGAUGAAAUCCCUCGGGAUGUAAACUUCGCAAGAAUGGGAAGAAUAAGUGGGGGACAAUACCCCCCAUGAUGACGGUACCAUUUGUAAGCUCCGGCUAACUCCGUGCCAGCAGCCGCGGUAAUACGGGGGGAGCAAGCGUUGUUCGGAUUUACUGGGCGUAAAGGGCGCGUAGGCGGUCGUGACAAGUCACUUGUGAAAUCUCCGGGCUUAACUCGGAACGGUCAAGUGAUACUGUCGGACUAGAGUACAGAAGGGGCAACUGGAAUUCUCGGUGUAGCGGUGAAAUGCGUAGAUAUCGAGAGGAACACCUGCGGCGAAGCGGGUUGCUGGGCUGAUACUGACGCUGAGCGCGAAAGCCAGGGAGCGAACGGGAUUAGAUACCCCGGUAGUCCUGGCCUUAACGAUGAAUGCUUGGUGUCUCGGGUUAUAAAGUCCCGGGGUGCCGUCGCUAACGCUUUUAGCAUUCCGCCUGAGAGUACGGUCGCAGACUGAAACUCAAAGAUUGACGGACCCGCACAAGCGGGUGGAAGCAUGUGGUUAUCGCGCACCGAAGAACUACUGGGCUAGAAUUGCUCUGGACAACUGAAGAUCAGCCUCGGUAACCAACAUGCAGGGCGUCAUGCUGCCUCAUCUGUCUGGAAGUUGGGUAUCCGCACAAGGGCAACCCUAUACAUGUUUG
rnacentral:rRNA from 1 species